AUAGUCCCAAGUGUUGCCAGUUUGCUAUGUGUAUCAGCUUCUGGGUGUCAAAGUGGACUGACAUUAUAAUUCUUUCAGGAAUUGGUUGCUAGUUACAUUAACUUGUGACCCCAUGACAGAAAGAAACAUCUU
rnacentral:snoRNA from 1 species